UCUGAGCACAAAGAAGAAAGAGGGAAGAAGCACCCUCCACCUGCUGAAAUCAAAGUGAGGAGGAGAGAAAGGAAAGAGAACAAAAGGAAUACUGCUUCAGCUGCUGCUAGUUAAGAUCUUUCCUUGCUGGACCUAGGAGGUGUCUGUACUGCGCCCAGCCCCAUCAAAGAUGUAUCCCAGCUAGCAAGGUGCUUGAAUGUGGCAAGUGACAAAAUAGCAGAAUCCAAAAGAUGAAGUCUGAGGAGAUAGAGAAACUGUUAUCAUGCAGCAUCCUUGAUAAUGGACAAGGAAAAAGACAUGACACAAGACCACUGCACCAGAUACAUGCCACUUUGUUUACUGGAAAACAAAAGUAUGUGUGUGGGGGAUUUUUUUAAAUUGUUUUAGUUUGUUUGUUUUAAAAUCUGUGUAAACCUUCUUCACGUGUGAUGUAUUUAGCACAG